rnacentral:rRNA from 1 species
UACAGAGGUGGCAAGCGUUGUUCGGAAUUACUGGGCGUAAAGGGCGAGUAGGCGGCUUUUUAAGUCAGACGUGAAAUCCCCCGGCUUAACCUGGGAACUGCGUCUGAUACUGGAAGGCUUGAGUAUGGGAGAGGAAUGUGGAAUUCCAGGUGUAGCGGUGAAAUGCGUAGAUAUCGGGAAGAACACCCGUGGCGAAGGCGGUUCUCUGGGCAGUAACUGACGCUGAGGAGCGAAAGCGUGGGGAGCGAACAGG